rnacentral:rRNA from 1 species
UACGUAGGAUGCAAGCGUUGUCCGGAAUUAUUGGGCGUAAAGAGCGCGCAGGCGGUCAAUCAAGUCAGAUGUGAAAUAUCCCGGCUUAACCGGGAGGGGUCAUUUGAAACUGGUUGACUAGAGUACAGCAGAGGAUAGCGGAAUUCCCGGUGUAGUGGUGAAAUGCGUAGAUAUCAGGAAGAACACCCGUGGCGAAGGCGGCUCUCUGGGACGGUACUGACGCUGAGACGCGAAAGCGUGGGGAGCGAACAGG